rnacentral:rRNA from 1 species
GACGAACGCUGGCGGCGUGCCUAAUACAUGCAAGUAGAACGCUGAAGGAGGAGCUUGCUUCUCUGGAUGAGUUGCGAACGGGUGAGUAACGCGUAGGUAACCUGCCUGGUAGCGGGGGAUAACUAUUGGAAACGAUAGCUAAUACCGCAUAAUAGUAGAUGUUGCAUGACAUUUGCUUAAAAGGUGCACUUGCAUCACUACCAGAUGGACCUGCGGUGUAUUAGCUAGUUGGGGGGGUAACGGCUCACCAAGGCGACGAUACAUAGCCGGCCUGAGAGGGGGGAUGGCCACACUGGGACCGGGACACGGCCCAGACUUCUAAGGGAGGCAGCAGUAGGGGAUCAUCGGCAAUGGACGGAAGUCUUACCGCACAAAGCCGCGUGAGUGGAGAAGGUUUUCGGAGCGGAAAACUCUGUUUUAAGAGAAGAAAGAGUGUGAGAGUGGAAAGUUCACACUGUGACGGUAUCUUAACAGAAAGCGACGGCUAACUACGUG